GGGGAAAUAGCCCAGUGGUAACACAAGAGCGUUGGACUAGGACUCUGGAGAUCAGGGUUCAAAUUCCAGUUCCACCA